GGCCAGACUCCUACGGGAGGCAGCAGUGGGGAAUAUUGCACAAUGGGGGGAACCCUGAUGCAGCGACGCCGCGUGUGGGAAGACGGUCCUCUGGAUUGUAAACCACUGUCCCCAGGGACGAAAAUGACGGUACCUGGGGAGGAAGCUCCGGCUAACUACGUGCCAGCAGCCGCGGUAAUACGUAGGGAGCGAGCGUUGUCCGGAAUUACUGGGUGUAAAGGGAGCGUAGGCGGGCGAGAAAGUUGAAUGUUAAAUCUGCCGGCUUAACUGGUAGCUGCGUUCAAAACUUCUUGUCUUGAGUGAAGUAGAGGCAGGCGGAAUUCCUAGUGUAGCGGUGAAAUGCGUAGAUAUUAGGAGGAACACCAGUGGCGAAGGCGGCCUGCUGGGCUUUAACUGACGCUGAGGCUCGAAAGCGUGGGGAGCAAACAGGAUUAGAUACCCUCGUAUUU
rnacentral:rRNA from 1 species